rnacentral:rRNA from 1 species
GAUGAACGCUGGCGGCGUGCUUAACACAUGCAAGUCGAACGGAAAGGCUCCUGCUUGCAGGGGUACUCGAGUGGCGAACGGGUGAGUAACACGUGGGUGAUCUGCCCUGCACUUCGGGAUAAGCCUGGGAAACUGGGUCUAAUACCGGAUAGGACGAUGGUUUGGAUGCCAUUGUGGAAAGUUUUUUCGGUGUGGGAUGAGCUCGCGGCCUAUCAGCUUGUUGGUGGGGUAUUGGCCUACCAAGGCGUCGACGGGUAGCCGGCCUGAGAGGGUGUACGGCCACAUUGGGACUGAGAUACGGCCCAGACUCCUACGGGAGGCAGCAGUGGGGAAUAUUGCACAAUGGGCGCAAGCCUGAUGCAGCGACGCCGCGUGGGGGAUGACGGCCUUCGGGUUGUAAACUCCUGUCGCUAGGGACGAAGCGCAAGUGACGGUACCUGGAGAAGAAGCACCGGCUAACUACGUG